ACCGCGACGCCGGGCCGCAAGGCCGGAAGUGACUGGCACCCCGGGCCAAGAAAAGUCGUGCAUCGGCAAAAUCAGCCGCCCGUACCAUAAACCGACACAGGUAGAUGCGUAGAGAAUACGAAGGCGAACGGGAGAACGCGCGCUAAGGAACUCGGCAAAAUGGCCCCGUAACUUCGGGAGAAGGGGCGCCUGGUGCAAGCCAGGCCGCAGUAAAGUGGCUCUACCGACUGUUUACCAAAAACACAGGUCAGUGCAAACGCGCAAGCGGACGUAUACGGGCUGACGCCUGCCCAGUGCCGGAAGGUUAAGAGGAGGGGUUCACGCUCUGAAUUGAAGCCCCGGUGAACGGCGGCCGUAACUAUAACGGUCCUAAGGUAGCGAAAUUCCUUGUCGGGUAAGGUCCGACCCGCACGAAAGGCGUAACGAGUGGAGCACUGUCUCAGCGCGCGACCCGGCGAAAUUGAAGUACGUGUGAAGAUGCGCGUUACCCGCAGCAGGACAAAAAGACCCCAUGGAGCUUUACUGUAGUUUGUCAUUGCGUUCGGACGGCACUUGUGUAGGAUAGCUGGGAGGCUAAGAAGCAGGGGCGCUAGCUUCUGUGGAGCCGACGGUGAAAUACCAGCCUGGUGGCGUCUUGGCCCUAACCGUGCGCUGUGAAGCCAGCGACGGGACAGUGGCAGAUGGGCAGUUUGACUGGGGCGGUCGCCUCCUAAAGAGUAACGGAGGCGUUCAAAGGUGGGCUCAGGCUGAAUGGAAACCAGCCGUUGAGUGCAAAGGCACAAGCCUGCUUGACUGCAAGGCCAACGCGCCGAGCAGAGACGAAAGUCGGACUUAGUGAUCCUACGGUGCCGAGUGGAAGGGCCGUAGCUUACCGGAUAAAAGCUACCCUGGGGAUAACAGGCUAGUCUUGUCCAAGAGUUCACAUCGACGACAAGGCUCGGCACCUCGAUGUCGGCUCAUCGCAUCCUGGGGCUGGAUAAAGUCCCAAGGGUUGGGCUGUUCGCCCAUUAAAGCGGUACGUGAGCUGGGUUCAGACCGUCGUGAGACAGGUCGGUCUCUAUCCGCUGUGGGCGUAAGGUAUUUGAGAGGGGCUGCCCCUAGUACGAGAGGACCGGGGUGGACGGAGCGCUCGUGUGCCGGUUGUGCCGCCAGGUGCAGCGCCGGGUAGCGAUCUCCGGAGAGGAUAACCGCUGAAAGCAUCUAAGUGGGAAGCCAGCCUCAAGAUGAGAUACCUCAUCCCGAAAGGGAGUAAGAUCGCUGGGAGACGACCAGCUGGAUAGGCCGGACGUGGGAGGGCAGCAAUGUCUGCAGCGAACCGGUACUAAUGAUCGA
rnacentral:rRNA from 1 species